rnacentral:rRNA from 1 species
CGGCGAGCGAAGAGGGAAAAGCCCAGCACCGAAUCCCGCGGCCUUGACGGUCGCCGGGAAAUGUGGUGUUAGGGAGGGUCCGCCAUCCCGAGCGCGCGCGGUGCGUCCAAGUCCUUCUUGAACGGGGCCACAUACCCAGAGAGGGUGCCAGGCCCGUAGGGACCGCCGCCGAGUUCGGGAGGACCUCUCCUCAGAGUCGGGUUGCUUGAGAGUGCAGCCCAAAGUGGGUGGUAAACUCCAUCUAAGGCUAAAUAUAACCACGAGACCGAUAGCGAACAAGUACCGUGAGGGAAAGUUGAAAAGAACUUUGAAGAGAGAGUUCAAUAGUACGUGAAACCGUUCAGGGGUAAACCUGAGAAACCCGAAAGAUCGAACGGGGAGAUUCAGCGCGGCUCCGAUCGGAGGCUCGUUCGCCGAGCGACGUCGGCCCUCGGGCACGGCGCGCCGGUCCGGCCUUUCGGCAGGAACGCGUGCACUUCUCCCCCAGUAGGACGUCGCGACCCGUAGGGCGUCGGCUUAAGGACGGCGGUGGAGACCGGGCGACAUCACGCCGCCCGGACCCGCCGCUCCGAGCCGACCGGCCCGACGGAACGAACCGAGGCGCGGGGCCGCUUUCGUUAGCGUCCGACCCGUCGCAAGCUCCGGCGGUCAACCUUGCUCUCGGACCUGGUGCCGGUGCAGGGCCCGUCAGGCUGUUGGCGGCGGUGCUCUCGGACAGACCCCGAACCACGCCGGUCAGCGACGCUAUCGCUUUGGGUACUUUCAGGACCCGUCUUGAAACACGGACCAAGGAGUCUAGCAUGUGCGCGAGUCAUUGGGACUUGCGAAGCCUAAAGGCGAAAUGAAAGUGAAGGCGAGCUUCGUGCGAGCCGAGGGAGGAUGGGUCGGACUCCGGUCCGGCCUCGCACUCCCGGGGCGUCUCGUUCUCAUCAGGGAGAAGAGGCGCACCCAGAGCGUACACGCUGGGACCCGAAAGA